UACAGAGGGGGCAAGCGUUGUUCGGAAUUACUGGGCGUAAAGGGCGCGUAGGCGGCCUCUUAAGUCGAACGUGAAAUCCCCGGGCUCAACCCGGGAACUGCGUCCGAUACUGGGGGGCUUGAAUCCGGGAGAGGGAUGUGGAAUUCCAGGUGUAGCGGUGAAAUGCGUAGAUAUCUGGAGGAACACCGGUGGCGAAGGCGGCAUCCUGGACCGGUAGUUGACGCUGAGGCGCGAAAGCCAGGGGAGCAAACGGGG
rnacentral:rRNA from 1 species